UACAUGCAAGUCGAGCGCGGGAAGCGAGUGGAUCCCUUCGGGGUGAAGCUCGUGGAACGAGCGGCGGACGGGUGAGUAACACGUGGGCAACCUGCCUGUAAGAUCGGAAUAACCCCGGGAAACCGGGGCUAAUGCCGGGUAAUACUUUCUUUCGCAUGAAGGAAAGUUGAAAGAUGGCUUCUUGCUAUCACUUACAGAUGGGCCCGCGGCGCAUUAGCUAGUUGGUGAGGUAACGGCUCACCAAGGCGACGAUGCGUAGCCGACCUGAGAGGGUGAUCGGCCACACUGGGACUGAGACACGGCCCAGACUCCUACGGGAGGCAGCAGUAGGGAAUCUUCCGCAAUGGACGAAAGUCUGACGGAGCAACGCCGCGUGAACGAUGAAGGUCUUCGGAUCGUAAAGUUCUGUUGUUAGGGAAGAACAAGUACCGUGCGAAUAGAGCGGUACCUUGACGGUACCUAACGAGGAAGCCCCGGCUAACUACGUGCCAGCAGCCGCGGUAAUACGUAGGGGGCAAGCGUUGUCCGGAAUUAUUGGGCGUAAAGCGCGCGCAGGCGGUUCCUUAAGUCUGAUGUGAAAGCCCACGGCUCAACCGUGGAGGGUCAUUGGAAACUGGGGAACUUGAGGACAGAAGAGGAGAGUGGAAUUCCACGUGUAGCGGUGAAAUGCGUAGAU
rnacentral:rRNA from 1 species